rnacentral:rRNA from 1 species
CCUACGGGUGGCAGCAGUGGGGAAUAUUGCACAAUGGGGGAAACCCUGACCCAGCGACGCCGCGUGAGUGAAGAAGUAAUUCGUUAUGUAAAGCUCUAUUAGCAGGGAAGAAAAUGACGGUACCUGAGUAAGAAGCACUGGCUAACUAUGUGCCAGCAGCCGCGGUAAUACGUAGGGGGCAAAAGUUAUCCGGAUUUACUUGGUGUAAAGGGGGCGUAGACGGCCGUGCAAGUCUGGAGUUAAAGGCGGGGGCUCAACCCCCGGACUGCUUUGGAAACUGUACGGCUGGAGUGCAGGAGAGGUAAGUGGAAUUCCUAGUGUAGCGGUGAAAUGCGUAGAGAUUAGGAGGAACACCAGUGGCGAAGGCGGCUUACUGGACUGUAACUGACGUUGAGGCUCGAAAGCGUGGGGAGCAAACAGGAUUAGAUACCCUAGUAGUC